GCGUGUAUAUGUGUUUAAAUUUGACACUAGCCUGUUGGAGACUAAUAAACCAACCCUUAUACUGCCACAAAAUGCGUUCAUUCUAAAUUGUUCUUACGUGAUCUUUCAGCGAUAUGUUUUAUUGACAACAUUGGUCAAUUAGGCGCGGUAUUCAUGCGGAACGUAAAUAUCAAUACAAUUUCUGUGACGUGUCAAAUACGUUUCUAACGAUCUUAUAGAUGAUUGGCUGGUUAGGCAUUAUCCCUUGAUAAGAGCAAUUUGCAAUCAACAUCCUAUGUCAAGAGGUUUAUCUAUAUUUACCGGAUAUAAUAAAAAGCAUAUAAGUGUGCAAGUUUGUCUUACGGUCUCAUAUUCAUUUCUUUACACUAACAUAAACACAACUUAACAGGAGAAAGUUUAGAACAUUGUUCAAUAUCCACCAAGUUUGAAGAAAAAACCUUGUGAUGCAGUCUAGAAACGCAGUCUUCAUACUGACAUGCCUUAUAGUGCUACAAAUGCUAUUAGAAAUCUCUGCACGGCCACACACGAACUGUUGUCGGUACAUAAAAUGUCCAAGCGGAAAAAUGUGCAUACAGAUUGGAUCCCGAUGCAGAUGUAAAAGUAACCGAGUAAUUUCAGAAAUUUUGGACAUGUUUUUAAGUCAGCAAAAGGAACGAAAACUUUCACUUGAAGCCAGUGAUGAUCAAGAAUUCUGGUGAUGGAGGAUGUAUUAAUUCAUUUUGUGAUAACCAACCUACUGUGAUUUAUUGACACUUUUUGUGUUAACUUUUUAAACAUUGGUACACGUUCCAGAUCAAUUCAGUGACGAUGAUCUAUAAUUUAGAUAUUUUUGUAAAAACUGUAAACUAUGCAUAUUUACAGUCUUAGUUACAGUAAUACUGUGAAUAUAUGAAGUGAAAAUGACACUGCACUUUCUGGAACAUUUUUUCAAUUUCAACAAAUGAUUUACUGUAAAAUAUUAUAAUAUACGUUAGAAGAUUUAUUUUAUGUGAUAUAAACAUAGUAUCGUUACUAUUUGAUCUAAUUAAAAAGACAUAUUUGUUGUUUCCAGUCCAACGUAAUGAUGUGAAAUUAUUUCUUGCUUGGACAUUUUUUACAUGAUGUACUAUUUAUUUAUUGAUUGGUUGAUUGAUUGAUUGAUUGAUUGAUUGAUUGAUUCAUUGAUUGAUUGAUUGAUUGGUUGGUUGAUUGAUUUAUUUAUUUAUUUGAACGGGUUUAACGCCUUUUUACAGUGAUAACUUUUUUUUUUAAAGUUGUUUAUAUAUUUGUUGUUUUGUUUUUAUGUGAAAUGAAUAUACCUUUAUAUCAGUCUUUUGCUCAUUUUACAUUAUAUGUUAUAAAUGUUUGUUUUAUAAUAAAGUAUAUAAAAAUAU